rnacentral:rRNA from 1 species
GGUUGAUCCUGCCAGCAGCGAUACGCUCGCUAUCGAGGUUAAGCCAUGCAUGUCAGUUCUGAGGAAUUACAACAGUUGACGAUACACUCUGGACCGAGAUAACUUCGGAAAAGCUGAAGCUAACAACCGCGCUGCUCACGCCGAGAGUUUGUCGAGAGACUAGAGUUUUCGCUUCUGUCCUAUCAGCUUUAUGGUCGGGUAUGGUCCGUCCAUGGCUUCUACGGGUAACGGGGGAUUAGUGUUCGAUCCCGGAGAAGGAGCCUGAGAGACGGCUACUACACCUAAGGGUGGC